rnacentral:lncRNA from 1 species
CAGCGUGGACCUUGGACUUUGAGUCUCACUUUACUACUACUACUUCCUGAGCAAGUCCAAUUAUAUAUAGCACUAAUGAAAGUGUGAGAAUAAAAUCGGAGUAGCUGGAGUAGCAAGUCCUAUAUGUCCUAUCAUUGAUAAAAUAAUCAUACAGUAAACAGACUCGUUAGCAUUAGAUUAAGUUGUUAUUUUAUCUUUAUUGCUAUUUCCAAGGGUGUUUAUUCUUAGUUUGAUGUGGAUUGUGAAAAGGACAAAAGCAACGUGAUGAGAGAGAGAAGAGGGAAUAAUGGGGUGUCACGGGGAAACCCCAAAUGCUACCAGCUGCAAUUACAAGAUUGACCUUGAGAUCGGUGAAGAACAUUAGUAGUAUUUCUUGUACUAGCAGCGGAAUUUAGGACGGUGAAGAAUGGUUGUAAGGUGAGGAGUUGAAUUGUUUGACUUUGGAGAAGAGUUUGUGUGGCGCGCAAGAAUCGGGGACAGGAGAGUCACCCCCGGAUGCAGCGCAUGGGGAUUAGGGUCAAUUUUAUUACACUAUAAUUGUUUAUUCAUUUCAGGUUAUUAGGUUAAAAUUUUGAACAAAGGAAAUGGAAAUUUCAGCCUGC